rnacentral:siRNA from 1 species
GUCCAUUCCGUAACAUUUCGAUGC